rnacentral:pre_miRNA from 2 species
UCCUGCGGCGUUUCUGACAGAAAAAAUAGUGUUUUUGCCGAUUGGCCGCAGAGGU